CGACAGGCUUAACACAUGCAAGUCGAGGGGCAGCACAGGUAGCAAUACCGGGUGGCGACCGGCGCACGGGUGAGUAACGCGUAUGCAACUUGCCCAUCAGAGGGGGAUAACCCGGCGAAAGUCGGACUAAUACCGCAUGAAGCAGGGAUCCCGCAUGGGAAUAUUUGCUAAAGAUUCAUCGCUGAUAGAUAGGCAUGCGUUCCAUUAGGCAGUUGGCGGGGUAACGGCCCACCAAACCGACGAUGGAUAGGGGUUCUGAGAGGAAGGUCCCCCACAUUGGUACUGAGACACGGACCAAACUCCUACGGGAGGCAGCAGUGAGGAAUAUUGGUCAAUGGCCGAGAGGCUGAACCAGCCAAGUCGCGUGAGGGAUGAAGGUUCUAUGGAUCGUAAACCUCUUUUAUAAGGGAAUAAAGUGCGGGACGUGUCCCGUUUUGUAUGUACCUUAUGAAUAAGGAUCGGCUAACUCCGUGCCAGCAGCCGCGGUAAUACGGAGGAUCCGAGCGUUAUCCGGAUUUAUUGGGUUUAAAGGGUGCGUAGGCGGCCUUUUAAGUCAGCGGUGAAAGUCUGUGGCUCAACCAUAGAAUUGCCGUUGAAACUGGGGGGCUUGAGUAUGUUUGAGGCAGGCGGAAUGCGUGGUGUAGCGGUGAAAUGCAUAGAUAUCACGCAGAACCCCGAUUGCGAAGGCAGCCUGCCAAGCCAUUACUGACGCUGAUGCACGAAAGCGUGGGGAUCAAACAGGAUUAGAUACCCUGGUAGUCCACGCAGUAAACGAUGAUCACUAGCUGUUUGCGAUACACUGUAAGCGGCACAGCGAAAGCGUUAAGUGAUCCACCUGGGGAGUACGCCGGCAACGGUGAAACUCAAAGGAAUUGACGGGGGCCCGCACAAGCGGAGGAACAUGUGGUUUAAUUCGAUGAUACGCGAGGAACCUUACCCGGGUUUGAACGCAUUCGGACCGAGGUGGAAACACCUUUUCUAGCAAUAGCCGUUUGCGAGGUGCUGCAUGGUUGUCGUCAGCUCGUGCCGUGAGGUGUCGGCUUAAGUGCCAUAACGAGCGCAACCCUUGCCACUAGUUACUAACAGGUAAAGCUGAGGACUCUGGUGGGACUGCCAGCGUAAGCUGCGAGGAAGGCGGGGAUGACGUCAAAUCAGCACGGCCCUUACAUCCGGGGCGACACACGUGUUACAAUGGCGUGGACAAAGGGAGGCCACCUGGCGACAGGGAGCGAAUCCCCAAACCACGUCUCAGUUCGGAUCGGAGUCUGCAACCCGACUCCGUGAAGCUGGAUUCGCUAGUAAUCGCGCAUCAGCCAUGGCGCGGUGAAUACGUUCCCGGGCCUUGUACACACCGCCCGUCAAGCCAUGGGAGCCGGGGGUACCUGAAGUCCGUAACCGCGAGGAUCGGCCUAGGGUAAAACUGGUGACUG
rnacentral:rRNA from 1 species